AUACGAAGGUCCCAAGCGUUGUUCGGAUUUACUGGGCGUAAAGCGUGCGUAGGCGGCAAGGUAAGUCAGAUGUGAAAUCCCGGGGCUCAACCCCGGAACUGCAUCCGAUACUGCCUUGCUAGAGUAAUGGAGGGGCAUCUGGAAUUCAUGGUGUAGCAGUGAAAUGCGUAGAUAUCAUGAGGAAAACUAGUGGCGAAGGCGAGAUGCUGGACAUUUACUGACGCUGAGGUACGAAGGCCAGGGUAGCGAAAAGGAUUAGAAACCCUAGUAGUCC
rnacentral:rRNA from 1 species